UGGAACUUUUUCUAAGGGCUUCUCUUGCCUUAUUGCCGUUUUUGGGGUUGUAACUUCUUUUAAUUUUUAAUACUCCCCUUGGCUUCUACAAGCAUUGCCACUUCCAAGAGAUUGCAUCAUUGAAGCUCAUUCAAGCGUUCGAAUUGGAGCAGUAGUCUGUCAAGGCGUUGCAUACGCUGGAGUACAGAAUAAGCCACUCUAACCCAUUUCUUCUAUAUUCACUUCUAAACUAUUUCUCGUCCACCUGUUCCUAAUUAGAUAUUCUUGAUAGGUGAAGGGCGUGAGCACAAAGGAGACUCGGAAGCGAUACGGAUGCGGAAGUUGUACAUGCACGAAGAAUGCCCGACUUGCGGGCAGGAUGCACAACCUCUCGUGGAAAAACUGUAAGGAAGCCGAUCAACUCUUCGGUGUAAGCCCGUGUUUAAUGAGCUUGCAUCCGCGGAGCUGAUUCAAGCAUUCGAAUUGUAGCAGUGAACAGCCAUGGCCUCGCAUACGCUGGAGUCUAGAAUGAGCCACUCUAAUCCAUUUCUUCUGUGUACACUCUUAAACCUUUCCUUCUCCACCCAUUUCUAAUUAGACAUUCUUUGCAGGUGAAUGGCGUGGGCGUGGAAAGAAG